AACGCGAAGAACCUUACCUGGGCUUGAACUGUGCAGGACCAUCCUGAGAAAUUGGGACUUCCCGCAAGGGACCUGCAUAGAGGUGCUGCAUGGCUGUCGUCAGCUCGUGCCGUGAGGUGUUGGGUUAAGUCCCGCAACGAGCGCAACCCUUACUCUUAGUUGCCACCCGCAAGGGGGAACUCUAAGAGGACUGCUCCGGAUAACGGAGAGGAAGGUGGGGAUGAGGUCAAGUCAGCAUGGCCUUUAUGUCCAGGGCCACACACGUGUUACAAUGCGCGCUACAAUGCGUUGCCAACCCGCGAGGGGGAGCUAAUCGCAAAAAAGCGCGCUCAGUUCGGAUUGCACUCUGCAACUCGAGUGCAUGAAGCUGGAAUCGCUAGUAAUGGCGCAUCAGAACGGCGCCGUGAAUACGUUCCCGGGCCUUGUACACACCGCUCGUC
rnacentral:rRNA from 1 species